rnacentral:rRNA from 1 species
GAUAACUACUGGAAACGGUAGCUAAUACCGCAUAAUGUCGCAAGACCAAAGUGGGGGACCUUCGGGCCUCAUGCCAUCAGAUGUGCCCAGAUGGGAUUAGCUAGUAGGUGGGGUAACGGCUCACCUAGGCGACGAUCCCUAGCUGGUCUGAGAGGAUGACCAGCCACACUGGAACUGAGACACGGUCCAGACUCCUACGGGAGGCAGCAGUGGGGAAUAUUGCACAAUGGGCGCAAGCCUGAUGCAGCCAUGCCGCGUGUGUGAAGAAGGCCUUCGGGUUGUAAAGCACUUUCAGCGGGGAGGAAGGCGGUGAGGUUAAUAACCUCGUCGAUUGACGUUACCCGCAAAAGAAGCACCGGCUAACUCCGUGCCAGCACCCGCGGUAAUACGGAGGGUGCAAGCGUUAAUCGGAAUUACUGGGCGUAAAGCGCACGCAGGCGGUCUGUCAAGUCGGAUGUGAAAUCCCCGGGCUCAACCUGGGAACUGCAUUCAAAACUGGCAGGCUAGAGUCUUGUAGAGGGGGGUAGAAUUCCAGGUGUAGCGGUGAAAUGCGUAGAGAUCUGGAGGAAUACCGGUGGCGAAGGCGGCCCCCUGGACAAAGACUGACGCUCAGGUGCGAAAGCGUGGGGGAGCAAACAGGAUUAGAUACCCUGGUAGUCCACGCCGUAGACGAUGUCGAUUUGGAGGUUGUGCCCUUGAGGCGUUGGCUUCCGGAGCUAACGCGUUAAAUCCAACCGCCUGGGGAGUACGGCCGCAAGGUUAA